rnacentral:lncRNA from 1 species
GCAAAUAGGGACAGAUUUACUUCUCAUUGCAGGUUUUGUAGCCACUUUGAAGUCAGCAUCUUUUUCCUUUUCCAGUCCUUGCCCAACCGCAGACCUAUUUUCCAUUCCUGUUGUUUUGCCUUGUACAGAAUGCCAUAUAGAUGUAAUAAUGUAAAAAUGNNNNNNNNNCUUCUUUUAAAAACAGUUUUUGGAUAUUCUAAGAUCCUUGAAUUUCCAUAUUAUUUUAUUUAUAUUAGUGACUUAUUGGCUGGACCACUUUGCUUAUUCAUUUAUUUUAAUGUAGUUCCUUAAUAUCUUAUA